rnacentral:rRNA from 1 species
UACGGAGGGUGCAAGCGUUAUCCGGAUUUACUGGGUUUACAGGGUGUGUAGGCGGGCUUUUAAGUCAGUGGUGAAAUCUCCGGGCUCAACCCGGAAACUGCCAUUGAUACUAUUAGUCUUGAAUUUUGUUGAGGUAGGCGGAAUAAGUCAUGUAGCGGUGAAAUGCAUAGAUAUGACUUAGAACACCAAUUGCGAAGGCAGCUUGCUAAACAAAUAUUGACGCUGAGGCACGAAAGCGUGGGGAUCAAACAGG